rnacentral:rRNA from 1 species
UGAGGAAUAUUGGUCAAUGGGCGGGAGCCUGGACCAGCCAAGCCGCGUGAGGGAGGAAGGCCCUAUGGGUCGUAAACCUCUUUUGUCAGGGAACAAAAGCGAGUAUGUAUACUAGUCUGAGUGUACCUGAAGAAAAAGCAUCGGCUAACUCCGUGCCAGCAGCCGCGGUAAUACGGAGGAUGCGAGCGUUAUCCGGAUUUAUUGGGUUUAAAGGGUGCGUAGGCGGCGGUGCAAGUCAGCGGUAAAAGCCCGGGGGCUCAACCCCGGCGAGCCGUUGAAACUGCAGUGCUAGAGAAGGCGAGAGGUACGCGGAAUGCGCAGUGUAGCGGUGAAAUGCUUAGAUAUUGCGCAGAACUCCGAUUGCGAAGGCAGCGUACUGGCGCCUGACUGACGCUGAGGCACGAAAGCGUGGGGAUCGAACAGGAUUAGAUACC